rnacentral:tRNA from 1 species
AGCUUUAUAGUCAAUAAUGAUGUUAGACUGCAAUUCUAAAGGAGUAAUAUAAUAUUACUAAGGCUU